GUUCUCGGAGAUUCGCCCCGGGUUCGUGCGGCAGGUUCGGCUGUGCUGAGCGGCGGCACUGCGGACCGGAUCAAAGGAUCAGACGUAAAUAAACGGCAGGUGCCGGUGAUGCGCUGAAGCCCCGCCCCUCCUCCGCUGGCACCGUAGCUGUUAUUUAUGAAUGCCCGCCGCUCACGGGCGUGUGCGCGCGCAGUCCUCGUUAUUAUUAUUAUGUUUUAAUAACGGAGACCGGACACCGAUCCAGGCAGAUGUGCGGCUCAGUGCCGGAGCCUGCGAUGCCCGCUCCGCGCGGUUAGAUUCCCGCUUCGGUCCGCUGUGUUCGACGAUAAUACUGGGUCGAUACACCGAACACAGAGCCGUUCGCCGGCCCGCUGCAGCCACAGGAGCCGCCUCACCCCGUCAACCGACAAGGUGUGUUGCUGCAGCAACGGCUGACAGAUGAUGCUCUUUUGAGAGUGGGUGGGGCUACGUGGCCCUGAGGCCUUAAGGAGGAGUCUCAGCCCUAAGCUCCUCCCCUCUCUCGUCCCGAGACAGACCAAACGGACGGACACACAGACGGCUGUAACUCUCCCCUCCCUCCUCCUCCUUCCCCCCUCUCUCCCCUGUUCUCCCCUCCACCUGGCCCCUCCUCCCGGCCACCCUCCCCUGUCUCCCCCCUCGUCCCCUGCCACCAUGCUGUGGUCACGCUGCUGGUGGAGAGCCUGAGGAAGCAGACUCUGGAAGGCGACCCUGCUCAGCCAGGGGACUUUUACCUGUCCCUGCUGGACCCGAAAACCCUCGCAGAGUGCUGGCGCCCAGAUGGCUUGAUGCCUG